UGGUGGGUAGUUUGACUGGGGCGGUCUCCUCCUAAAGAGUAACGGAGGAGCACGAAGGUUGGCUAAUCCUGGUCGGACAUCAGGAGGUUAGUGCAAUGGCAUAAGCCAGCUUGACUGCGAGCGUGACGGCGCGAGCAGGUGCGAAAGCAGGUCAUAGUGAUCCGGUGGUUCUGAAUGGAAGGGCCAUCGCUCAACGGAUAAAAGGUACUCCGGGGAUAACAGGCUGAUACCGCCCAAGAGUUCAUAUCGACGGCGGUGUUUGGCACCUCGAUGUCGGCUCAUCACAUCCUGGGGCUGAAGUAGGUCCCAAGGGUAUGGCUGUUCGCCAUUUAAAGUGGUACGCGAGCUGGGUUUAGAACGUCGUGAGACAGUUCGGUCCCUAUCUGCCGUGGGCGCUGGAGAACUGAGGGGGGCUGCUCCUAGUACGAGAGGACCGGAGUGGACGCAUCACUGGUGUUCGGGUUGUCAUGCCAAUGGCACUGCCCGGUAGCUAAAUGCGGAAGAGAUAAGUGCUGAAAGCAUCUAAGCACGAAACUUGCCCCGAGAUGAGUUCUCCCUGAGACUUAGAGUCUCCUGAAGGAACGUUGAAGACGACGACGUUGAUAGGCCGGGUGUGUAAGCGCAGCGAUGCGUUGAGCUAACCGGUACU
rnacentral:rRNA from 2 species